rnacentral:lncRNA from 1 species
AUCCAUGCUUCCUCUUCGCAUCGUGAGAAGAUCAUUACAGAAGCAUAUCACCACACUUAGCUAGUGGUCACUUAUACAAAUACUUGUGAAGAAAGAAGUCACAGUCUCCAGUGAAGUAUCACCUAGUAUUGAUUGAUUAAAUGUAGUACCAGAUAAAAU